rnacentral:rRNA from 1 species
ACGGGUGAGUAACGCGUGGGAAUCUACCCAUCUCUACGGAACAACUCCGGGAAACUGGAGCUAAUACCGUAUACGUCCUUCGGGAGAAAGAUUUAUCGGAGAUGGAUGAGCCCGCGUUGGAUUAGCUAGUUGGUGGGGUAAUGGCCUACCAAGGCGACGAUCCAUAGCUGGUCUGAGAGGAUGAUCAGCCACAUUGGGACUGAGACACGGCCCAAACUCCUACGGGAGGCAGCAGUGGGGAAUAUUGGACAAUGGGCGAAAGCCUGAUCCAGCCGUGCCGCGUGAGUGAUGAAGGCCCUAGGGUUGUAAAGCUCUUUCAACGGUGAAGAUAAUGACGGUAACCGUAGAAGAAGCCCCGGCUAACUUCGUGCCAGCAGCCGCGGUAAUACGAAGGGGGCUAGCGUUGUUCGGAAUUACUGGGCGUAAAGCGCACGUAGGCGGAUAUUUAAGUCAGGGGUGAAAUCCCGGGGCUCAACCCCGGAACUGCCUUUGAUACUGGGUAUCUCGAGUCCGAGAGAGGUGAGUGGAAUUCCGAGUGUAGAGGUGAAAUUCGUAGA